rnacentral:snRNA from 1 species
CUUCAAAACUAAGAGCUCAUGGUAAAAUUGGAACGAUACAGAGUAGAUUAGCAUGACCCCUGAGCAAGGAUGACACGCAAAAUCGUGAAGCGUUCCAUAUUUUC